rnacentral:misc_RNA from 1 species
GAUGAAGAACGUAGCGAAAUGCGAUAAGUAGUGUGAAUUGCAGAAUUCAGUGAAUCAUCGAAUCUUUGAACGCACAUUGCGCCCCUUGGUAUUCCAUGGGGCAUGCCUGUUCGAGCGUCAUUUGUACCUUCAAGCUCUGCUUGGUGUUGGGUGUUUGUCUCGCCUCUGCGUGUAGACUCGCCUCAAAACAAUUGGCAGCCGGCGUAUUGACUUCGGAGCGCAGUACAUCUCGCGCUUUGCACUCAUAACGACGACGUCCAAAAGUACAUUUUUACACUCUUGACCUCGGAUCAGGUAGGGAUACCCGCUGAACUUAAGCAUAUCAAUAAGCGGAGGA